AGGGUUUGAUCCUGGCUCAGAACGUACGCUGGCGGCACGCCUAACACAUGCAAGUCGAACGAAGUAGCAAUACUUAGUGGCAGACGGGUGAGUAACAUGUAGGUAUCUGCCCUUUGGCCUGGAAUAACACGAGGAAACUUGUGCUAAUACCGGAUAAGUCUUUACGGAGAAAGCUUUAUGCACCAUUGGAUGAGCCUGCACUUGAUUAGUUUGUUGGUGGGGUAAUGGCCUACCAAGACUGUGAUCAAUAGCUGAUUUGAGAGGAUGAUCAGCCACAUUGGGACUGAGACACGGCCCAAACUCCUACGGGAGGCAGCAGUGGGGAAUCUUGCACAAUGGAGGAAACUCUGAUGCAGCGAUGCCGCGUGAGUGAAGAAGGCCCUUGGGUUGUAAAGCUCUUUCGUCGGGGAAGAAAAUGACUGUACCCGAAUAAGAAGGUCCGGCUAACUUCGUGCCAGCAGCCGCGGUAAUACGAAGGGACCUAGCGUAGUUCGGAAUUAUUGGGCGUAAAGCGUCCGCAGGCGGCUUUUCAAGUCUGCUGUUAAAACGUGGAGCUUAACUCCAUCAUGGCAGUGGAAACUGAAAGGCUUGAGUAUGGUAGGGGCAGAGGGAAUUCCCGGUGUAGCGGUGAAAUGCGUAGAUAUCGGGAAGAACACCAGUGGCGAAGGCGCUCUGCUGGGCCAUUACUGACGCUCAUGGACGAAAGCCAGGGGAGCGAAAGGGAUUAGAUACCCCUGUAGUCCUGGCCGUAAACGAUGAACACUAGGUGUCGGGGGAAUCGACCCCUUCGGUGUCGUAGCUAACGCGUUAAGUGUUCCGCCUGGGGAGUACGCACGCAAGUGUGAAACUCAAAGGAAUUGACGGGGGCCCGCACAAGCGGUGGAGUAUGUGGUUUAAUUCGAUGCAACGCGAAGAACCUUACCAGGGUUUGACAUCCUGCGAACCUCUUAGAAAUUUGAGGGUGCCUUCGGGAAUGCAGUGACAGGUGGUGCAUGGCUGUCGUCAGCUCGUGUCGUGAGAUGUUGGGUUAAGUCCCGCAACGAGCGCAACCCUCACUUUUAGUUGCCAUCAUUAAGUUGGGCACUCUGAAAGAACUGCCAGUGAUAAGCUGGAGGAAGGUGGGGAUGACGUCAAGUCCUCAUGGCCCUUACGUGUUGGGCUACACACGUGCUACAAUGGUAUCUACAACAGGAAGCAAAACUGCGAAGUUAAGCAAAUCCCUAAAAGAUACCUCAGUUCGGAUUGCACUCUGCAACUCGAGUGCAUGAAGCUGGAAUUACUAGUAAUCGUGGAUCAGCGUGCCACGGUGAAUGCGUUCCCGGGUCUUGUACACACCGCCCGUCACACCAUGGGAGUUGGUUCUACCUUAAGGCAAGGUUUCAAACCCUUGACCACGGUAUAGUCAGCGACUGGGGUGAAGUCGUAACAAGGUAGCCGUA
rnacentral:rRNA from 1 species